GACGAACGCUGGCGGCAGGCCUAACACAUGCAAGUCGAGGGAGAAGCUUAUCUUCGGAUAAGUGGAGACCGGCGGACGGGUGAGUAACGCGUGGGAACGUGCCCUUGAGGUACGGGAUAACACUUGGAAACGAGUGCUAAUACCGUAUACGCCCUUCUCGGAGGGGAAAGAUUUAUCGCCUUAGGAUCGGCCCGCGUAGGAUUAGGUAGUUGGUGAGGUAAUGGCUCACCAAGCCUUCGAUCUUUAGCUGGUCUGAGAGGAUGAUCAGCCACACUGGGACUGAGACACGGCCCAG
rnacentral:rRNA from 1 species